rnacentral:lncRNA from 1 species
GGGAAACUGUACAAAAUAACAAAGAAACAAAUGGAAUUGCAAUGCGGAAGUUUAUGAAGAAUGAUGGGCUGAAUGAGUAUAAAGCCUUUCAGGCAGCUUUUAGUGACACACUUGAAGAAAUUUAUUGUUUCGUUGAGCAUUAUUACAGAUCAGCAUUGUCAAGAACCAAUGGUGUUCCCUGAAGAAAGAAUACAACAUGGGACACAGGACUCUCAGAAAGAGCAGUGAUAUCCAACCUUUCUGGCACCCAGAGACCACCGGACCUCCUUUUCUACAAUCAAGCCAAACCAGUUCCUGUUGUUGGUGCCAAGAUAGACUACAGCUGGAAAUUCCCCAAAUGACCAACAGAUCACCUGGUGCCAACUGACUGACCACCAGGAAGAGCGACUAUUGACUUUGGGCUUAAAAGUCAUCUAAUCCACACUGUUUCUCACUCCCCUGACUACCCUCCUCUGCCCUGAGGUUUUUUUGCCUUUAUAAUCUCCUAUUCACUGACCCUGCCUGAGAGCAUGAUUUCUUUUUACACCAGGGGCUGCAUCUCCCCAAUCUGCAAAUUGUUUCUUAUGGAAAAUGAAGCUUUCUCUUUUCCUUCCACAGAUCUCAUGGUCUUUUGUUACAAGGAACCUGUCUCAAGACAGUCAUACUCUGUUAAUUCACUAUAACACUAAGAACCUCAAUGGAGUUCAGGUCUAUGAGAAUGAUUCAUUCAUAACAUCUAUCACCUUAAAAUUUAUUGACUAGGGCCUAAGGCACAACUGCCUUGCCCUGGGCUGAAUUCUACCCUAGGGCAGAGUUUUCGGUGGCCUCGGUGUACUCUUAGUAGUAUUUCUACUAAAAAGCCAACAUAGAGGGCAUAGACUCCAAGCCUUAGAGACUCAAACAAGAAACAACAUUUGACCAUUCCAUGCCCUCCAAAUCUAUUGGAUGCCACCAAACAAAGGCAAAAAAAAAAGCAGAUUUCAUAACACGAAAAACAAUAUAUUCUCUAUCUUUCAGCAUUGUGAGGGAAGGUGUCUGGUCUGGAAUCAUUUCUCAGUAUAAUGCACACCCCAAAGCAGCUUAACACAGCGGUAAGCCUAGAUGAAAGCAUUCAUGUCAAUUACAUGGAAAUGUUCUUUCACCAAGAUUGAGAAGCCACACUUGGGACAUUCAGUCCUCUAGACAAAAUGUAUUUGAAAUGGAAACUGAGAAAGCAAAGAGAAGCAUUUGUUCCUUUCCAGGUGAGAGGCAAGAGAAAGUCUUGUGUAAGAUAGCUGCUAGAAAUCCAGGCUGUUCUCUUCAGAACUCUCGUUCUCAGAUUUGCUAGGGUCUUUCCUUUGGUAGAAAGAGCUGAUUGCACUUCUAAAGGCAGCUUGACCUUUGCCCCAUCCCACUAGCUGAAUGAAACCAAGAAAGACUGCUUGAAUGCUUACACCCCUAAAGCGGAUUUGUAUUUAUAAAGUAGCCAAAGCUGUACUUGGCAAUGAUUUCACAAACAGAGAGACAAAUUCACAGGAGUGAGAAUAACUCUCUCACAAACUUUACCAUACUUUACACUUUGUUGGGAAGUCAGCAGAGAACUUCACACUUCAUUGAAAAUCCAUUAAACAAUUACCAGGUCAUUAGCACAGACUUUGAAGUACUAGCUUUCAAACUCCCUUACUAAAGAAAGCUCUUUGCUAGACCUUCAGCUGCCUUUGCAAGUGUAGUCCUAAGGAGCUUUAACAGAUAACCAAAACAGACAAACAUUAAAAAAAAAAAAAAAAGUGUACUCACUGAAAAAUAAAACAAAGCAUCAUGCAUGAAUCAUUUAAUGAAUCAAUUAUAUAACAGUAUAUGUUACAUAAUACUGUCAUAUGUAUUACUGUCUCUCAAUUGUAUCUGGAUAAGUAAAGUAGAUAAUCCGUAAAUGUUGGUUGAUUCAGGAAUAUGUUUCCCUAGACAAUCACAAACAACUACUGAGUGACUACCAAGGCUUUACUGCUUUUGUGCCAACCACCCUCAUUUGUAUCUCUAGCCCAGAUCUCUUCCUUGAACACCAAACUAGCAUUUUCUACUAUUCACUUGGCAUCUCAUCUGGAUGUCUACUAAACCUCUCAAACACAAUAUGCUCAAAACUGAACUCUUGAUCUUUACCGAAACCUGCUCUCCACCUCAGGUACUGGCAAUUCCAUUCUUCCAAUAGCUGAAAUCAGUGUUUUUUUUUUCUUUUCGUCUUUACUGAAGUAUAAAAGACAGAUGAUAAACUGCAC